AGAAUCAACGCUGGCGGCGUGCCUAACACAUGCAAGUCGCACGAGAAAGGGUAGCAAUACCUGAGUAAAGUGGCGCACGGGUGAGUAACACGUGAAUGAUCUACCUCCGAGUGGGGAAUAACUGGGAGAAAUCUUAGCUAAUACCGCAUAACACUUACGAGUCAAAGCAGCAAUGCGCUUGGAGAGGAGUUCGCGGCCGAUUAGUUAGUUGGCGGGGUAAUGGCCCACCAAGACGAUGAUCGGUA
rnacentral:rRNA from 1 species